CUUCCUUGUUGCGGUGAUGGAGGUUACACAUGCUACGGCGCAGGGCCAAAAAACAACCUGCGUGCAGCUUUAUUGACGGAUAUAAGAGCUUGGAUUUGGAUGCAUUUUCAUAAGGUCAGUAUCUGCUUCAUUGUUUGAUGCAUGAAAGAUGUGCAUUACUAUUUACUGUUUAACAUGAUUGUACACUCUACAUUCUCGAUCAGCACCAAAUAUUUAUUUUUUUAUUUUACAGGUAAUGAAAAUACAGCAUCAAUUUCUGGAUGUCCCAUGAUAGAUAGAUAGAUAGAUAGAUAGAUAGAUAGAUAGAUAGAUAGAUAGAUAGAUAGAUAUAGUGCAACACCAUUUAAACUCUGAAAUUCACUUUUAAUAAAGCUUCAUGUGUCUAACUUGAACUGUAUUGUAGAAUGUUUACUAUGUUGGAAAAAAUAGGCACCUGAUGACAUCUUCAGUAUUUUUUUUUUUUUUUUUUAAGCUGUGUAAAACUGGAUAUUUGAUGUGGUCUACAAAGAUUUAAAAGCUGUCUGAAAUAAAAAUGAAUAUAUAAUAUGAUGCAUGUGGUUCAACAUUUUUUGUCUGUAGAACUUCAAGUCUUGUACCAAACACUUUUGCUUUACUGAACAAUAAUAUAUUCUAAAAUAUGAAAAGGUGUAUAACGAUGUAUAGUACCAUGCAGAAGCAUUACAGAAGCAAUUUGUCAGUGCAAUAACACUAAGACUUGACUAACUGAACUGUUGUGCAACAAAUGAAAAUGCUGUUAACGGUCAAGUAAUUGCAGAAGUGAAGGGAGGAAAAAAACAGUUGACAGACUAAGACGCAUCUAAACAUUGACAAAGGGACACACUCUCUGUAGAGUCAAGAUUUCACAUUUUCAUGUGGUUUAUUAUAGAUGGCCCAAUCUGGGUGCAGUUUGUACAAAACUCUUCAAACAUGUCAGAACUUGGAUGAGGAGGGUGCAACAGUGCCAGCUCCAGAUGUUUUAAGAGGAAAAGGUGACCUGCCCUUCACAAGUAUUGCAAGUGUGUUUGAGUUCUUUACUAGUAAAAAUAAGGGUCAUGCACCAGAUUCUGUCCAGAUAAACACUGAGUUGGUUAAGCUGUAGAAAUGGAUGUAUUUUGUGUGAAGGGCCAAAUGGGCCACAUCUUAGACCCCUUUUUAAGUCUAUAUAAACACAUUGAAGAGGUUUAUAACUCAGUGGAAUGUAGUUGCUGUAAAUGUUUCAAUGUUUGUAUCAUUUAUCAUAUAUGCUAAAUGGGGCACAUAAAAUAAAGGGACACCAGUUAAGAAAUUACAUUUUUUUCACAAUAUGUUCAAGUACAUGUUGCUGUUUUUCUUUUGAGUGUUAUUCUCUAACUUUUACAAAAUGUGACAAAAUAAAAAUGGGCUAUAAAAAUAUUUACAAUUCUAGUAUACAUAUCAGGUACAGUUUAAUUUCUUGUUCCUGCACCCCUGACUUCCAGUCAAACUUUCUUCAACACAAUC